CCAGUUGCUCCCAGUUCAUCCCAGUUCCAUCCCAGUUCCCUCCCAGUCCCUCCCAGUUCCCUCCCAGUCCCUCCCAGUUGACCCCAGUCCAUCCCAGUUCCAUCCCAGUUCCAUCCCAGUUCUCUCCCAGUUGACCCCAGUUCCAUCCCAGUCCAUCCCAGUUCACCCCAGUCCAUCCCAGUUCACCCCAGUCCAUCCCAGUCCAUCCCAGUCCCCAUUUAACUCCAUCCCAGUCCAUCCCAGUCCCUCCCAGUCCCUCCCAGUGACCCCCGCUGUGUCCCCAGUUGGGGACAAGGUCCCGGCCGACAUCCGGAUCAUCUCCAUCAAAUCCACCACGCUGCGGGUGGACCAGUCCAUCCUUACUGGGGAGUCGGUGUCGGUGAUCAAGCACACGGAGCCGGUGCCCGACCCCCGGGCGGUCAACCAGGACAAGAAGAACAUGCUCUUCUCGGGCACCAACAUCGGCGCCGGCAAAGCCGUGGGCAUCGUGGUGGCCACCGGCGUCAACACCGAGAUCGGCAAAAUCCGCGACGAGAUGGCGGCCACCGAGCAGGACAAGACCCCCCUGCAGCAGAAGCUGGACGAGUUCGGGGAGCAGCUGUCCAAGGUCAUCUCCUUGAUCUGCGUGGCCGUCUGGGCCAUCAACAUCGGCCACUUCAACGACCCCGUCCAUGGUGGUUCCUGGAUCCGAGGAGCCAUCUACUACUUCAAGAUCGCCGUGGCGCUGGCGGUGGCGGCCAUUCCUGAGGGUAUCUAAGGGGGAUUGGACGUGGUUAUGGGGUUUGGAGAAGGUUCCAGAUGGUUUGGAGAAGGUUUGAGAUGGUUUGGAGAAGGUUCGGGGGUUUUGGAGAAGGUUUGAGAUGGUUUGGAAAAGGUUGGAGGUGGUUCCAGGUGUUUAUGGGGUUUGGAGAAGGUUGGAGGUGGUUCCUGGAUCAGAGGAGCCAUCUACUACUUCAAGAUCGCCGUGGCGCUGGCGGUGGCGGCCAUUCCUGAGGGUCUCCCCGCCGUCAUCACCACCUGCCUGGCCCUGGGCACUCGGCGCAUGGCCAAGAAGAACGCGAUUGUCCGCAGCCUGCCCUCGGUGGAGACCUUGGGCUGCACCUCGGUCAUCUGCUCCGACAAGACCGGGACCUUGACCACCAACCAGAUGUCCGUCUGCAAGAUGUUCAUCAUGGACAAGGUGGAGGGCGACGUCUGCUCCCUCAACGAGUUCUCCAUCACCGGCUCCACCUACGCCCCAGAAGGAGAAGUGUUGAAGCAGGACCGGCCGGUCAAGGCUGGUCAAUACGAUGGUCUGGUGGAGCUGGCCACCAUCUGCGCCCUCUGCAACGACUCCUCGCUGGACUACAACGAGUCCAAAGGUGUCUACGAGAAGGUCGGGGAGGCCACCGAGACGGCCUUGACCUGCCUGGUGGAGAAGAUGAACGUCUUCAACACCGACGUCAGGAGCCUCUCCAAGGUGGAACGCGCCAACGCCUGCAACGCCGUGAUCAAGCAGCUGAUGAAGAAGGAGUUCACGCUGGAGUUCUCCAGGGACAGGAAGUCCAUGUCGGUCUUCUGCUCCCCGGCCAAGGCCUCCAGAGCGGCCGUGGGCAACAAGAUGUUCGUCAAGGGUGCCCCCGAGGGCGUCAUCGACCGCUGCAACUACGUCCGUGUGGGGACCACCAGGGUUCCUCUGACGCCGGCGGUGAAGGAGAAGAUCCAGAGCGUCAUCAAGGAGUGGGGGACGGGCAGGGACACCUUGCGCUGCCUGGCCUUGGCCACCAGGGACACCCCACCCAAGAAGGAGGACAUGGUCCUGGAGGACUCCUCCAAGUUCUCCGAGUAUGAGACGGACCUGACCUUCGUGGGCUGCGUGGGGAUGUUGGACCCACCACGCAAGGAGGUCAUGGGCUCCAUCCGCCUGUGCCGCGACGCCGGCAUCCGCGUCAUCAUGAUCACGGGGGACAACAAGGGCACGGCCAUCGCCAUCUGCCGCCGCAUCGGCAUCUUCGGUGAAGAUGAGGAGGUCACCGGCCGCGCCUACACCGGCCGCGAGUUCGAUGACCUCCCGUUGUCCGAGCAGCGAGAAGCUUGCAGGAGAGCCUGCUGCUUCGCCCGGGUGGAGCCCACCCACAAGUCCAAGAUCGUGGAGUUCCUGCAGUCCUUCGACGAGAUCACGGCCAUGACCGGCGACGGCGUCAACGACGCGCCGGCGCUGAAGAAGGCGGAGAUCGGCAUCGCCAUGGGCUCGGGGACCGCGGUGGCCAAGACGGCCUCGGAGAUGGUCCUGGCCGAUGACAACUUCUCCACCAUCGUGGCGGCGGUGGAGGAGGGCAGGGCCAUCUACAACAACAUGAAGCAGUUCAUCCGUUACCUCAUCUCCUCCAACGUGGGCGAGGUGGUCUGCAUUUUCCUGACGGCCGCCCUGGGCCUUCCCGAGGCUCUGAUCCCGGUGCAGCUGCUCUGGGUCAACCUGGUCACCGAUGGUCUCCCGGCCACCGCCCUGGGCUUCAACCCCCCGGACCUGGACAUCAUGGACAAGCCACCGCGCAGCCCCAAGGAGCCGCUGAUCUCAGGGUGGCUCUUCUUCCGCUACCUGGCCAUCGGUGGUUACGUCGGGGCCGCCACGGUGGGAGCGGCCGCCUGGUGGUUCCUCUUCGCCGAGGAUGGACCCAACGUCAGCUACCACCAGCUGACCCAUUUCAUGCAGUGCUCCGAGCACAACGUGGAGUUCGAGGGCCUGGACUGUGACAUCUUCGAGUCCCCGGUGCCGAUGACGAUGGCGCUGUCGGUGCUGGUGACCAUCGAGAUGUGCAACGCCCUCAACAGCCUGUCGGAGAACCAGUCGCUGGCCCGGAUGCCACCAUGGGUGAACAUCUGGCUGAUGGGCUCCAUCUGCCUGUCCAUGUCCCUGCACUUCGUCAUCCUCUACAUCGACCCCCUGCCCAUGAUCUUCAAGCUGACGCCGCUGACGCUGACCCAUUGGCUGAUGGUCAUCAAGAUCUCCUUCCCGGUCAUUCUUCUGGACGAGGCCCUCAAGUUCAUCGCCAGGAACUACCUGGAGGGUGAGGGGUGGGGCUGGACCUGCCGGGUUGUCCUCUCCUGACCCCCCUCGGGGUCA